rnacentral:rRNA from 1 species
UAGGGAAUCUUCGGCAAUGGGGGGAACCCUGACCGAGCAACGCCGCGCGAGUGAAGAAGGCUUUCGGAUUUUAAAGCCCUCUUGUUAAGGAAGAACGAGUGUGAGAACGGACAGCUCAUACCGUGACUGUACCUAAUCAGAAAGCGUCGGCUAACUACGUGUCAGCAGCUGCGGUAAUACGUAGUCUCCGCGCGCCGUCCGGAUUUUUUGGGCGUAAAGCGAGUGCAGGUGGCUUGAUUAGUCUGAAGCUAAAGGCAGUGGAACAAUCAAAUUAGGCUUUAGAACAUGUUUAACUUGAGUGGAAAAGGGGAGAGUGGAAUUCCGUGUGGAGCGGAGAACUGCAUAGAUAUAGGGAGAAACGCCGGUGGAAGGAGCGGCUCUCUGGUCUGUAUAUGACGCGGAGGCUAGAAAGCGAGGGGAGCGAACAGG